rnacentral:ncRNA from 1 species
AACAAAAACAACCCUGAUGAUUGGGGUUCUCAUGGGUUUGUGUGACAUGUGCCUCCCCCAAAUCUUAUGCUAUGGGCACAUUACCCAUCUGAUG